CUCUUUGCAGGGUGUUAUGUAGCCAGGAGAAAUGAAUACAAAGAAUCUCAAUGAGAUCAAUAAAUUGUACCAUAAUAGGUAGUAAUAUUUGGAGAAAACCUACAGUUUCAAACAUUCCUCUUUGUUAAAUUUUUUAUCUCGCUAACUUGUGUUUCACUAACCAUUAAUUAUGAUAUUGUUAUCUUAAAACUUUAUUAAAGCAACUUGAAACUUUUGAAAAAGCCAUUGUUCACAUUAAAAAUAGCUUGGCUGAUUCAUCAACUAUAAUCUUGCACUCCAUGCACAGUGCUGGCUGUGUGAAAAAAGUCAGUUUUCCUAUUUCACCUAGACUUGCAGGAUAUUCAUUUAGUGAGAGGACGCUUUUCUCCUCCAGAAUCUCAGUGUUCCUUGAUUGACCACUGAUCAACUUAGCUGGAGUUAUUAAAAAUAUUUUCUUUUAAACACUGAAUUUGGAGGCGUUCCCAUUGUAGCUCAGUGGGUUAAGAACUAGACAUAGUGUCUAUCAAGAUGUGGGUUUGAUCCUGAUCCCUGGCCUCACUCAGUGGGUUAAGGAUCCAGCAUUGCUGUGGCUGUAGUGUGGGCCGGCAGCUGCAGCUCUGAUUCAUCCCCUAGGCUGGGAACUAAAAAAAAAAAUAAAAAUAAAAACAAAGAAAAAAAACUACUGAACUUGGAAAUUAGAAAUUAGAAAUAACAUUUUAUGUGUUCAAAAUAUUAUUAUCUUCUGAAAAAUAUUUGUCUACUACCCACCGUAUAUGUAAUAUGAUGUCUAAGAGGGUAGAAAAUAAGUGGAUGACAGAAAAUGUGUUCAUACUUUUACCAUUUCCCAAAAGAACUUGAAGUUGUUUACGAUAAAAACAUCGUCCCGUUACGAUCAAAGGCCAUUGGCAUGAGACAACAUUACAAGUGAGCAAAUCACAUAGGGGUGGUAAAGGGAGCAGUUUGUGCAGAGAUUUCGAGUUGGGGCGGACUUUGCCGCGGAGCUCUCUGCCCCAGGCUCCCAGCAGCCGCGCAGAGAGCUAAGAGCGGCAGCUUAAGUGCAAAGGCAGGGCGCCCUCCUCCCGGGGGAGGCAGGCCCCGGGCCACCGCCUUCACCAGACCCAGACUGCAGGCCAUGGAGACAGGGCCCAGGACAUGAACUCAGAGGAGGGGAGAACUAGCUAAGCAGACCUUCUAGGAAAACGGUUUAUUCGGGUGAGGGCCUGGGGACAGAAACAGGCACUUCCUGAAAUUCUAGAUGGGCCAGCUUGGCCUGAAAGGAGGUGAGUGGCCAAGUGAAAGGAAGGGCUGAAAAGGCGAUUUCAGUACAAGCAUCAGUGACUUUGAGUCCAGCCUCAGCAGCUUGAACUGUAGUUUCUGGGCCAUUCCCUGCUGGCUUUUUAUUUUUUUCCCUUUAACCAGGAAAACAUGUUAAAUGAAGACAGUGUCUUAAAAAGAUUAAUCUAGUAGCAGUUCCAAGAUGUAGGAAAGGCACUUGGGCCGAAAGCCCAGCUCCAGUCCGGCGGAGAGAAGGGGGUGAGCGGUGAGGGCAUUGCAGAGGAGAGGCGUGCUCCCCGGAUGGUCACGGACACGAGGAGCCGGCAAGAGGAGGGCCAACAGCAGGCUGCGCUUCCACCAGACAAGAGAAAAGGGAGUCCUUUUUUGAGGAAGGGAAAGGAUUUUGACCGGCAGCGUUCUUCACCUAUUCCGAGCUCUCACACCCCACACUACAUAGUCCGGUUCAAGUCACUUCGGGUAUUUGCCUACAGAGUCGCCGGAAGGGAUGUCAGUGGAGAGUCAGCCGCUGGUUCCAGAGCCAGCCUGUCCUCUCUCUGCUGGUCUGUCCGGAUUUAACGCUGUCGAAACAGAGGGUCAGGAGGGAGUACUUCCAGCUCACCUCUCCUGAACCACCUGCCCUGCCAAGUCUGAGGCCAGAAGUGUGGACGUGGAACUCCUUGGCCUCCCCCUCGGGGCGGGUGCUGGACGCGCCCUGGGCCCAGGAGGAGCCGCUAGGAAGGCUUCUCGGCCAAGCCUUUGACAACGGCCGCCAACGAAUUCCAUCACGUUGCAUGGAGUGAAUUUAUUUAUCUUCUGUGGAAAACAAUCAAGUCAGACUUUUGGAGGGAGGUAUUUUUGUGCUGUCAGCUGACUUGGGGAUUUCCUCCCCAAGCGGCACAAGUCCUUCUUUUCGUGGCGUCCCCUGCUCCCCACCAGCACCCCACGACAGAUGACAGAGUUGAUCCCAGUCUGCCCGCAGCACUGUACCUGCUGGUAGGGCCUGUAGGAACCAAGCAGGUCAGCCUUGUUUCCUACAAAUAUUAAAACACGGACCUGCGGCAUCAUUUUCUAUUUGUUAGGUUUGUCUAUUAAGCAAGGGAGCCAGAUGCAGUGUGGGACCUGCCUGCUCCAGCCAGAAACGCAUGUGUGCUUGCUGGUCAAUGGAGACGGCACAGUUGACUGCUCCUGCAGUGGGAGGGGCUCUGGGCAUGCGUGCUGGCCCCAAGGGCCAUGGGGAGAAACACUAAGUGGGGGUCAGGCAUGUGGUCUGUGGGGGCUGUACGGAGAUGCUCCUGCAGGGGCCAGAGCAGCAGCUGGGAGCUCAGGGGCCUGGUCUGUGAAGUGGGUAAGAGAUAGAGAGGGUCAAAGGCCAGUGAAGGAGUCGCCUGGCUUCCUAAACUAGGGCUGUUGAACUGGACUCUGAAAGCUGCAAGUUAUCACAAAAGCGAGAGCGAGCAGCAGGUUGGGGGUGGAUUGGAUGGGAUGGGGCCAAGGCCCAGCGGAGGCGCCGACACCGAGGGCGUGUAAGCCCAGGGCUGCAGAGGAUAAAGCGACCCCGGUGACCUUUCAGCUGGCCUCUCCUUUUCUCGAUGGACAGGCAGAUUCUAGGACUCUGGGUGCAGAACAUGCGGCUCGCUGCUACGUGAGCCGGCUAUACUGGCAUUUUAGUCCUGUUGGCAGAUAAUCCUUGGGGUGAAAUCACUUGUUUCAAAAGUCUGCAGUGUGCUAAAACUGGGGCCGAUUUGCUGACAGGAGUUAUUUACUUCCUUAGCUGAGUAUAUUUAAUGUCCACAUUGCCAGUAGUACGUCAAAGAAUAUUAGCAAGCAAUGAUGUCUUUUACUUCACAUGAAAGAAAAUUGCGGCCUGUCAUUUUAAUACACAGCCUUCAUCAUUUUAAAUGGAGAGAAGAAUGCUUUCAACUCAACUGGUUUUAAAGGGUACUUUCCACGUUGACCCAUGCAAAGGCCGUAGAAUCAAUCAGUUGACCUAAGCGGUGGCUUUAUGCCGUGAUUGCCCUAGGCAAGUACAUGUGAAAGGCAUCUCUGUUUUGCCAGGAAAUUUGCAUACCUGUGUUUAUGUAGAUUUGUACAGAAUAGUAAGUUCCCAACAACAAACAACAGCAUAAUCAAUGAGAAGUAACGAGAGAUGAAUGCUUCCUGGGGAAGAGCUGGGAAGGGAAUCCGGAGUGAUGGAAUGAUUCAGCAACACAACUACCAGCAAGGGAGAAAAGAAAACAAAGGCAGUGAAAAUGAGGCCGUCGGAAUUUGGCUGUGAACCGAGGGGGCCUCUGCCUCCCUGAAAGGCUUCACGAAUGGCUUUCAACAUAUGGAUCCUUUUCUUUAUAUUGUGUCCUUCCUCCUUGCUCAGUCCUGCAGAAAGUCUCAGUCCUCAGCAUCCUGAUGCACUGGACUUAGUGGCAGGAAAAACAUGAAUGUAGCUUGACAGACACACAUGAAAACCGGCCAAGGCACACCCGCCUCCAAGAACAGUCAACCUCCGGCCAAACUGAAAAUGUGACCAUCACCGGCGUCCGCUGCCGAAAGAAACCAUCUGCCAGCAGUGCAAUUGCUUUGGUAUCUUCAGCUUUAAUUUGAAUUUCUAAGAGGACUUUGGGGAGUCAAAGCAUAAUCUUUUUAAAUGUUUAAAAGCUCUAAAUAACUGGAGGUUGACGUUGAAUUUGCCCUUUUCUCCUUCCAAUCUACAGUCAACAUUUCCAUGAUCACAGGACACACUUGACCUCGUGCCACCCUGGUCCCCCGUCUCCCUCAAGCCUUGACCCCAAGUCCCCCCCCCAACCCCCCUUCUGCUGUUAUCACUGCUUUCCUGCCAAGAGAGCAGGUUGUAAUCCAGGCCCGCCGCGCUGCGGGCAGGGCAGAAAGGCAGCGGAUGGGAGUGCAGUAAGGAGCGAAGCGUGGAACAAGAGUGUAUACUUGGGACUUCACACUACUUUGUGCAAAGGGAGAGGCUUGGGUAGAGACAGACAGUGAUUGUCUUUGUUUAUUAAGUGAAGAUCCCAGCCAGUGAAUCAACUUCCUGCACCAUCAACACACAUGCUACUGGUAUCAAAGAAGGAUAACAGCAGGCCUAAAAACAAAUGUGUAUUUAACUUAUGAAUAUUAUGGAAUUUUUAGAGAGAAGCAAAUGCACACAUUAAAAAAAAUUAAUAGUCAACUGAAGGACUGUCUUUCCAGUUCCUCAUCUCAAGCUUUCUUUUACAUUUGGACAGGGUCAUGACUUCGGGGGUGAGUCUGCACGGGUCCUGAGGAACUCUAGGCAUAGAAAGCCUAGGAAGCUGCGGGGCGUGUUGGAAAACGGGCCUCCCGAUGGGAGAGACCGUCCACGUGGGUGCACUUAUUCAGUGCAAAGAAAUGAGAUCAGAAGGGGACAGUUUAAGCCUGUCGAUGACAAGGAUUCCUGUUGUUUUAUAGUCAACAUGCCUUUUAAAUUUACUGAAUAAAACCCCAUAUCUAAAGCAGGUGGUUCUGAUUCUGAGGUGCAUUUGCCAUCAGUGUAUGACCGUGGCCCUGCAGGCUGUGUGCACAGUGUUUAAGGGAAGGCCCUGGCAGCAGGGAGCCCCACUAAGAAGAAUCCCCACUGAGUCUCAGGAAGGUCUUGGGAGCUGAGGCAGCCACAUGUCAUGUCCACCAAGUGGCCAAAGAAACAGCAGUGAACAGCAGAGUCUGAACUGUGUUGAGAAGCACUGAGAACAAGUAUUUCUUGGGAGGGAGGUGAGUUUCCACAUGGGAAAUGAGCCAUGGGGUCAGUGAAGAUGUCAUACUCCAGGAAGACCUGAGGCAGUCUGGGCAGUGGAGUGUGGAACAGGUAAAGAUGCCUGGGUCCUGGGUGCCGAGACCCUCUUUCACCUACAGAAGGGCAGGGUCCUUGCACACAGAUGACCCAUGAGUGUAAAGUGACACCCAGAUCCCAGGUAGGAGUCCCUUAUCAUUUGUGGAUUGGCCGUUUUGUACAACCAAGAUUAGAAACUCAUCUUACACAGGAAAACACAACAUUGACUGCUCCUGACUCCAGUAGACAUGGAGGUACGUCUGUGAGGUUGUUUGGAAAAUCGCCUGUUUAGUUAAUUAAGAAGAAAACAGAAAGAGCAAAAGAGAGAGAAGGAAAGAAAGAAGAAAGAAAGAAAGAAGGGAGGAAGGAAGGAAAGAAAGAGAGAGAGAGACAGAAAAGAAAGAGAAAGAGAGAAAGAAAGAAAAGAGAAAAG
rnacentral:lncRNA from 1 species